AUGACCCCAACCCCAUGGCCAUCCUGUCCCCAACAAUGUCCCUGACCCCAAAGCUGUCCUGUCCCUAAUGAUGACCCCAACCCCAUGGCCACCCUGUCCCCAAGGAUGUCCCUGACCCCAUGGCCAUCCUGUCCCCAAAGAUCUCCCCGACCCCACAUCCAUCCUGUUCCCAAUGUCCCCAACCCCAUGGCGACCCUGUCCCCAUGAUGACCCCAACCCCAUAGUCACCUUGUCCCUAAUGAAGACCCUGACCCCACAGCCACCCUGUCCCCAAUAUCCCUGACCCCAUGGCCACCCUGUCCCCACGAUGACCCCGACCCCACAGCCAUCCUGUCCCCAAUGUCCCUGACCCCACAGUCGUCCUGUACCUAGUGAUGACCCUGACCCCACAGCCACCCUGUCCCCAAGGAUGUCCCUGACCCCAAAGCUGUCCUGUUCCUAAUGAUGACCCCAACCCCACGGCCACCCUGUCCCCAAGGAUGUCCCUGACCCCAUGGCCAUCCUGUCCCCAUGAUGUCCCUGACCCCACAGCCACCUUGUCCCCAACAAUGUCCCUGACCCCAAAGCCAUCCUAAUGAUGACCCCAACCCCACGGCCAUCCUGUCCCCAAGGAUGUCCCCAGCCCCAUUUCCAUCCUGUCUCCAAUGUCCCCAGCCCCAUGGCCCCACUGUCCCCAGGGAUGUCCCUGACCCCAUGGCCACCCUGUCCCUAAUGAUGUCCCCAACCCCACGGCCACCCUGUCCCCAAUGUCCCCAGCCCCAUGGCCACCCUGUCCCCUUGAUGACCCUGACCCCACAGCCACCCUGUCCCCAAUGUCCCUGACCCCACAGUCAUCCUGUUCCUAAGGAUGACCCCAACCCCAUGGCCACCCUGUCCCCAUGAUGAUCCUGACCUCAUGGCCACCCUGUCCCCAACAAUGUCCCUGACCCCAAAGCCGUCCUGUUCCUAAGGAUGACCCCAACCCCAUGGCCACCCUGUCCCCAUGAUGACCCUGACCCCAUGGCCAUCCUGUCCCCAAUAUCCCCAACCCCACAGUCACCCUGUCUCCAAUGUCCCCAGCCCCAUGGCCACCCUGUCCCCAAUGUCCCCGACCCCACUGUUGUCUUGUCCCUAAUGAUGACCCUGACCCCAUGGCCAUCCUAUCCCCAAUGUCCCCUUGAUGACCCCAACCCUGCAGCCACCCUGUCCCUAAUGAUGACCCCAGCCCCAUGGCCAUCCUGUCCCCAAGGAUGUCCCUGACCCCACAGUCAUCCUGUUCCUAAGGAUGCCCCUGACCCCAUGGCCACCCUGUCCCCAAUGUCCCCAACCCCACAGCCACCCUGUCCCUAAUGUCCCCUUGAUGACCCCAACCUCACAGCCACCCUGUCCCCAACAACGUUCCUGACCCCAAAGCUGUCCUGUUCCUAAUGAUGACCCCAACUCCAUGGCCACCCUGUCCCCAAGGAUAUCCCUAACCCCAUGGCCACCCUGUCCCCAUGAUGACCCCGACCCCACAGCCAUCCUGUCCCCAACAAUGUCCCUGACCCCACAGCCAUCCUGUCCCCAGUGUCCCCAUGAUGUCCCCAACCCCGCAGCCAACCUGUCCCCAACAAUGUCCUGACCCCAUUGCCACCCUGUCCCCAUGAUGACCCCAACCCCACAGUCGUCCUGUCCCCAAUGUCCCCAUGAUGUCCCCAACCCCACAGCCACCCUGUCCCUAAUGAUGACCCCAACCCCGAUGC
rnacentral:lncRNA from 1 species